rnacentral:rRNA from 1 species
GACGAACGCUGGCGGCGUGCUUAACACAUGCAAGUCGAACGGAAAGGCCUGCUUUCCCUUGUGGAUUGCGGGUACUCGAGUGGCGAACGGGUGAGUAACACGUGAGUGAUCUGCCCCCAACUUGGGUAUAAGCCUGGGAAACUGGGUCUAAUUCCCGAUAGGACUGCAGGGUGGUGCCUGUGGUGGAAAACGAUUUUCUAGUGGUUGGGGAUGAGCUCGCGGCCUAUCAGCUUGUUGGUGGGGUAAUGGCCUACCAAGGCGGCGACGGGUAGCCGGACUGAGAGGGUGGACGGCCACAUUGGGACUGAGAUACGGCCCAGACUCCUGCGGGAGGCAGCAGUGGGGAAUAUUGGACAAUGGGCGGAAGCCUGAUGCAGCGACGCCGCGUGGGGGAUGACGGCCUUCGGGUUGUAAACUCCUUUCGACCGCGAGGAAGCCACCUGGUUGGAAGGGUGGUGACGGUAGUGGUAGAAGAAGCACCGGCUAACUACGUG